UGGUAGCACUCCUACAUUGAAGGCCUUGGAUCAAUCAGUGCUGAAUUAAAACAGAAAAAUUCAAGGUGGACAUGAGAAAACAAACAAACACAAAAGCAACAGAUUCCUACCAUUCUGGAAAUGUAGUUCACAGGCUCGAGAGCCCCAUUUCUUGGAAUCUACAAUGCUGAAGAUUGCAUUGAAUGCUGUCUAUUAGAGGAAAUCCUUGGAGAAGUUACUGGCUUGGAAAUAGUCACACAUCUGACAGCAUGUUACAAUAGGAAUUUUGGAUUGGACACUGAGAUAGCCCGUUUUACAACAAGGACUUCAUAUAGUAUUGUGCAAGGUGGAACUA
rnacentral:lncRNA from 1 species